ACCCAAUAGAUACCCAGGUAGUCUACGCCGUAAACGAUGCGCACUAGGUUCGAGAUCCUCUGACGGAAACUCGAGCCGAAAACAAAAAAGCGAUAAGUGCGCCGCCUGGGGAGUACGGCCGCAAGGCUAAAACUCAAAGGAAUUGACGGGGGCGUCACACAAGCGGUGGAGCAUGUGGAUCAAUUCGAAGCAACGCGAAGAACCUUACCUGGGUUUGACAUGCACGGAUGGUCUCGGGGAAACUCGAGUAAUCUGCCUUCGGGUGAAACGUGCACAGGUGCUGCAUGGCUGUCGUCAGCUCGUGCUGUGAAGUGUCGGGUUUAAGUUCCCUUAACCGAGCGAACCCUUACUCGCUAGUUGCCAGCGGGUCAUGCCGGGAACUCUAGUGAGACUGCCGGCGUUAAGCCGGAGGAAGGCGGGGUACGGACGUCAAGUCAUCAUGGCCGUUUA
rnacentral:rRNA from 1 species